rnacentral:rRNA from 1 species
CCUACGGGUGGCAGCAGUGGGGAAUAUUGGACAAUGGGGGCAACCCUGAUCCUGCCAUGCCGCGUGUGUGAAGAAGGCCCUCGGGUUGUAAAGCACUUUCAGUGAGGAAGAACGCCUGGUGGUUAAUACCCAUCAGGAAAGACAUCACUCACAGAAGAAGCACCGGCUAACUCCGUGCCAGCAGCCGCGGUAAUACGGAGGGUGCGAGCGUUAAUCGGAAUUACUGGGCGUAAAGCGCGCGUAGGUGGCUUGAUAAGCCGGUUGUGAAAGCCCCGGGCUCAACCUGGGAACGGCAUCCGGAACUGUCAAGCUAGAGUGCAGGAGAGGAAGGUAGAAUUCCCGGUGUAGCGGUGAAAUGCGUAGAGAUCGGGAGGAAUACCAGUGGCGAAGGCGGCCUUCUGGACUGACACUGACACUGAGGUGCGAAAGCGUGGGUAGCAAACAGGAUUAGAUACCCUUGUAGUC